rnacentral:rRNA from 1 species
AGAAUGAACGCUGGCGGCAUGCCUAACACAUGCAAGUCGAACGAGAUCUUCGGAUCUAGUGGCGCACGGGUGCGUAACGCGUGGGAAUCUACCCUUGGGUUCGGAAUAACAGUUGGAAACGACUGCUAAUACCGGAUGAUGACGUAAGUCCAAAGAUUUAUCGCCUGAGGAUGAGCCCGCGUAGGAUUAGCUAGUUGGUGUGGUAAAGGCGCACCAAGGCGACGAUCCUUAGCUGGUCUGAGAGGAUGAUCAGCCACACUGGGACUGAGACACGGCCCAGACUCCUACGGGAGGCAGCAGUGGGGAAUAUUGGACAAUGGGCGAAAGCCUGAUCCAGCAAUGCCGCGUGAGUGAUGAAGGCCUUAGGGUUGUAAAGCUCUUUUACCCGGGAUGAUAAUGACAGUACCGGGAGAAUAAGCUCCGGCUAACUCCGCGCCAGCAGCCGC